CGGCGAAACGGGCCUUUGAGCCCGUCGCGCGCGGGUGGUUCCGCGUGCCUGAUGAUGCCAGCCAGCG
rnacentral:hammerhead_ribozyme from 1 species